GAUAAUUUGCCCUAUGGUCUGGGAUAGCCUUGAGAAAUUGAGGGUAAGCCCGGAUAGAGGAUAACCACUGGAAUGUGUUUUCCUCCAAAGGCAACGCCAUAGGAUAAGUCGGCGGCUGAUUAGUUUGUUGGUGAGGUAAUGGCUCACCAAGACGAAGAUCAGUACGGGGGAUGAGAGUCCUAGCCCGGAGAAGGACACUGAGAUACUGGUCCUAGCCCUAAGGGGUGCAGCAGGCGCGAAACCUUUACAAUGUACGAAAGUGCGAUAAGGGGAUCCCUAGUGCUCAGCCAUUGGUUGAGCUUUUGCCGAGUGUAAGUAUCUCGGCGAAUAAGUGGUGGGUAAUACUGGUGCCAGCCGCCGCGGUAACACCAGAGCCACGAGUGGCAGUCAUGUUUAUUGGGCCUAAAGCGUCCGUAGCCGGUUUGAAAAAUCUUUUGUGAAACUGUCUAGCUUAACUAGACAACGUGCAAGAGACACUAUUGAGCUUGAGACCGGGAGGAGACAGAGGUAUUCUGAGGGGAGCGGUAGAAUGUUAUAAUCCUCGGAGGACCAUCGGUGGCGAAGGCGUCUGUCUAGAACGGUUCUGACGGUGAGGGACGAAGGCCAGGGGAGCAAAACGGAUUAGAUACCCGAGUAGUCCUGGCAGUAAACGCUGUGAGCUAUGUGUUGCAUAUCUUUCGUGGAUAUGCAGUGCCUAAGUGAAGAUGUUAAGCUCACCGCCUGGGAAGUACGGCCGCAAGACUGAAACUUAAAGGAAUUGGCGGGGGCUCACCACAAGGGGUGCGGCGUGCGGUUUAAUUGGAUUAUACACCGGAAAUCUCACCAGCAGCGACGGCAGGAUGAAUGUCAGAUUAAAGGUUUUACAUGACGAGCCGAGAGGUGGUGCAUGGCCGACGCCAGCUCGUGCCGUGAGGUGUCACGUUAAGUCGUGUAACGAGCGAGACCCAUAUCUGCUUUUGCCAGCAAGCCCUCCGGGGUGUUUGGGUACAAUGCAGAGACUGCCUUGGUAACGAGGAGGAAGGCGUGGGCAACGUUAGGUCAGUAUGCCCCGAAUCUGCUGGGCUACACGCGCGCAACAAUGGUGGGGACAAUGGGCUGCGACUCCGAAAGGAGGAGCCAAUCCUCGAAACCCCAUCUUAGUCCGGAUUGAGGGCUGGAACCCGCCCUCAUGACGACGGAAUCCCUAGUAAUCGGAGUUCAACAGGCUCCGGUGAAUACGUCCCUGAGCCUUGCACACACUGCCCGUCAAACCAACCGAGCAGGGUUCGGAUGAGAUUUAGUUUCUUGAUUAGAUCGAAUCCGGAUUCAGUAAGGUGGGUUAAGUCGUCACAAGGUA
rnacentral:rRNA from 1 species